rnacentral:rRNA from 1 species
UGGGGAAUAUUGCGCAAUGGGCGAAAGCCUGACGCAGCGACGCCGCGUGGAGGAUGAAGGUCUUAGGAUUGUAAACUCCUGUCAGAUGGAAAGAAAGGUCUGCGUUUAAUAGACGCGAAAUAUGACGGUACCAUCAGAGGAAGCACCGGCUAACUUCGUGCCAGCAGCCGCGGUAAUACGAAGGGUGCAAGCGUUAUUCGGAAUCACUGGGCGUAAAGGGUGUGUAGACGGUAUAUUAAGUUCGUCGUUAAAGGCUCCGGCCUAACCGGAGUAUUGCGAUGAAAACUGGUAAGCUAGAGGGUGAGAGAGAGAAGUGGAAUUCCCGGAGUAGCGGUAAAAUGCGUGGAUCUCGGGAGGAACACCAAUGGCGAAGGCAGCUUCUUGGCUCAUUCCUGACGUUGAGGCACGAAAGCGUGGGGAGCAAACAGGAUUAGAUACCCCCGUAGUCC